CAGAUGGGAAGCCGUUUGCCCCUCGCAUAAGUUCCCUGAUUAUUCAAUAUGUCCCCAGUAUACUGUCACUUCAGGAGGCCCUACUUUAGAAGAAACAUGGUCUAUGAUGGUGCUGUGGAUUAUCUGUUUUUGUUGUUGUUUAUUUGUUUUUUGAGACUGAGUCUCACUCUGUUGUCCAGGCUGUAGUGCAGGGGUGCAAUCUCGGCUCAUUUAAACCUCUGCCUGCCAGGUUCAAGUGAUUCUUCUGCCUCAGCCUCCAAAGUAGCUGGGAUUACAG
rnacentral:lncRNA from 1 species